GAGUGGACGCAUCACUGGUGUUCGGGUUGUCAUGCCAAUGGCACUGCCCGGUAGCUAAAUGCGGAAGAGAUAAGUGCUGAAAGCAUCUAAGCACGAAACUUGCCCCGAGAUGAGUUCUCCCUGAGACUAUAAGUCUCCUGAAGGAACGUUGAAGACGACGACGUUGAUAGGCCGGGUGUGUAAGCGCAGCGAUGCGUUGAGCUAACCGGUACUAAUGAACCGUGAGGCUUAACCUUACAACGCCGAAG
rnacentral:rRNA from 1 species